CCUACGGGGUGCAGCAGUGGGGAAUAUUGGACAAUGGGCGAAAGCCUGAUCCAGCCAUGCCGCGUGUGUGAAGAAGGCCUUCGGGUUGUAAAGCACUUUCAGUGGGGAAGAAAGCCUUGGGGCUAAUACCCUCGAGGAAGGACAUCACCCACAGAAGAAGCACCGGCUAACUCCGUGCCAGCAGCCGCGGUAAUACGGAGGGUGCGAGCGUUAAUCGGAAUUACUGGGCGUAAAGCGCGCGUAGGCGGUCUGAUAAGCCGGUUGUGAAAGCCCCGGGCUCAACCUGGGAACGGCAUCCGGAACUGUCAGGCUAGAGUGCAGGAGAGGAAGGUAGAAUUCCCGGUGUAGCGGUGAAAUGCGUAGAGAUCGGGAGGAAUACCAGUGGCGAAGGCGGCCUUCUGGACUGACACUGACGCUGAGGUGCGAAAGCGUGGGUAGCAAACAGGAUUAGAUACCUAGUAGUC
rnacentral:rRNA from 1 species